GUGCCAGCAGCCGCGGUAAUACAGAGGGGGCAAGCGUUAUUCGGAAUUAUUGGGCGUAAAGGGCGCGUAGGCGGCCAUUCAAGUGACGGGUGAAAGCCCUCGGCUUAACCGAGGAACUGCCUGUCAGACUGGAUGGCUCGAGACCGGGAGAGGUGAGUGGAAUUCCCAGUGUAGCGGUGAAAUGCGUAGAUAUUGGGAGGAACACCAGUGGCGAAGGCGGCUCACUGGACCGGAACUGACGCUGAUGCGCGAAAGCGUGGGGAGCAAACAGGAUUAGAUACCCCUGUAGUCC
rnacentral:rRNA from 1 species